rnacentral:rRNA from 1 species
GUCGAGAAUAAUUCACAAUGGGGGAAACCCUGAUGGUGCAACGCCGCGUGGAGGAUGAAGGUCUUCGGAUUGUAAACUCCUGUCAUCUGGGAGUAAGACCUGACGGGGAAUAGCCGGCAGGGUUGAUAGUACCAGAAGAGGAAGGGACGGCUAACUUCGUGCCAGCAGCCGCGGUAAUACGAAGGUCCCAAGCGUUGUUCGGAAUCACUGGGCGUAAAGGGAGCGUAGGCGGCGUGGUAAGUCAGAUGUGAAAUCCCGGGGCUCAACCCCGGAACUGCAUCCGAUAAUGCCAGGCUUGAGGGUUGGAGAGGUAGCUGGAAUUCUCGGUGUAGCAGUGAAAUGCGUGGAUAUCGAGAGGAACACUCGUGGCGAAGGCGAGCUACUGGACAACAUCUGACGCUGAGGCUCGAAGGCCAGGGGAGCAAAAGGGAUUAGAAACCCGGGUAGUCC